AUGCCACCCAACACGGUUUGCAGUCCGUCACAACCAUCCGAUAACUCACGCCAUACACUACAGGGUGGUCACCAACAGGAAUCUGAGGUGCUGCUAUUAUGCACGGUUAUGGAUAAACAGCGACGAUUUUGGAUAAUCUGGUCUAAGAGCUUCUGGAGAAAAAAAAUCCUAAUCAACCAGUUUGGCAAAAACAAUGCUAAGAUUAAGUUCAGCAAGGGAGCUGAACAACCUUUUACAGUAUCCACUCUCACAAAUACUAUGGUUGGUAGUUGUUUGCCCUCUCCUGAUCGAGAUGAAUUAUGGAUGUCUGUUGUUCCACUGAUAGAUUGGUUUGAUUUUUCAGGCCUGCUUUGCAACUGCGAGGCUCCAGUCUCUGUUGAUCUUAAUGUAAGACCAGGAGAUGAAGUGAUGGAGAUGAAUUUAGCAUUUUAA
rnacentral:rRNA from 1 species